UACGGGGGGGGCAAGCGUUGUUCGGAAUUACUGGGCGUAAAGGGGUUGUAGGCGGCCAACUAAGUCCGACGUGAAAUCCCAAGGCUUAACCUUGGAACUGCGUCGGAUACUGGAUGGCUUGAAUUCGGGAGAGGGAUGCAGAAUUCCAGGUGUAGCGGUGAAAUGCGUAGAUAUCAGGAGGAACACCGAUGGCGAAGGCAGGUCUCUGGGCAUUAACUGACGCUGAGGAGCGAAAGCAUGGGGAGCGAACAGG
rnacentral:rRNA from 1 species